CUCUUUUUGGUAGAAUUUGGCUUUUCCUAGUUGCCGUAAUUUGAUAGAGGUUAAUGGGUUUGAUGGAUGAAUUCAUAAAUUCCUGAUAUUUGGUGUAUGGUUUUGGUUUAGUUUCAUUAAAUUGAAUCGAACUUUUCUUAGUUCGGUGGUUGCUGCAAAAGGCAGGAGCUACAUAUCAAAAUCCAAUUCAUUUUGAGAAGUGGAGGCAAAAAUGGCAGUUUCUUUGACUCGUUUUUCAUGGUGGUUAUGGAGUGGCAAGGAAAAAGAACCUGUCUCAAAUGGUUCUUCUUUGAAUUCAUCUACUGAUUGGGGUUCUGGAUUCAGAGAGCUUGAAUCUGUUAAAUUCCCCUCAAGGAAUUUAGCCUCACCUAGAAAAGCUAAGAGGAAAUGGCACAGUAGGGAAGACAGGAGACUUGAUAAGCAAUAUGGUGAUGCAGUUUUGGUGCCAUCUGANNNNNNNNUGGGGUUUGCUUGUCAGGGUCAGAAUCGGAUGGCCCAGAUUGGUCCAUCGGGUGGGUGGAGCCUCAUGGACCUGA
rnacentral:misc_RNA from 1 species